CGGGGGAGGCCGGAUCCUGGGCUGUGUCCCCGUGCCCUGUGCUCCCGGUAUGCGCUGUUGGAUUCGCGCUCCCGAGUCCCCGCAGCCCCCU
rnacentral:pre_miRNA from 1 species